AGACCCGAAACCCGGUGAUCUAGCCAUGGGCAGGUUGAAGGUUGGGUAACACUAACUGGAGGACCGAACCGACUAAUGUUGAAAAAUUAGCGGAUGACCUGUGGCUGGGGGUGAAAGGCCAAUCAAACCGGGAGAUAGCUGGUUCUCCCCGAAAGCUAUUUAGGUAGCGCCUCGUGAAUUCAUCUCCGGGGGUAGAGCACUGUUUCGGCUAGGGGGCCAUCCCGGCUUACCAACCCGAUGCAAACUGCGAAUACCGGAGAAUGUUAUCACGGGAGACACACGGCGGGUGCUAACGUCCGUCGUGAAGAGGGAAACAACCCAGACCGCCAGC
rnacentral:rRNA from 3 species